rnacentral:rRNA from 1 species
UACGUAGGGGGCUAGCGUUGUCCGGAAUCAUUGGGCGUAAAAGCGUGCGCAGGCGGUUCUGAAAGUCAGCUGUGAAAGCCCCGGGCUUAACCUGGGAAUUGCGGUUGAAACUACAGGGCUAGAAUCUGGCAGAGGGGGGUGGAAUUCCACGUGUAGCAGUGAAAUGCGUAGAGAUGAUGGAGGAACACCGAUGGACGAACGGCAGCCCCCUGGGAUAACACGUGACGCUCGA